AAGAUAAGAUUUCCCACCGCAAGGGUAAGACCCCAGAAAGACUAUCUGGUUGAUAGGUCGAAGGUGUAAGUGCAGCAAUGUAUUUAGCUUAUCGAUACUAAUAGGUCGAGGACUUGACCAAAUU
rnacentral:rRNA from 1 species